UAAUCAUAGUGGUCUUUCCAACUUUAAUGCUUCUGUGAUUCUGAUGACACAGGAUGCACGUGUAACAGGCUCUAGUGAUUAGGUUUGCCACAAAGCAGUUCAAGUCCCUCACCCGGUAUAUCUGAGAGGUGAUUCCCCCUGUAUUUCCUAGGUUGCCAAAAAAAGAGAAAUAGAUAUCUCCAUUAAAAGUGUGGAUCACCUUUUACAACUCUCUGACUCAAACUACAAAGAUUCUGCCUGCGUUUUGACAGUAAUAAAUUUUCUCUUUCUUACUCUCAGGUAAUAAGUUUCUUAUUGCUUUAUAAGAAUAAAUCUCAACCAGAAAUGUAUUAUCAGACUUUGCUUGAGAUUCAGGUACUAAGUAUAUUGGGACCUCAAUAGUUCCAUGACAAUCCAUGUGGAACUAGCCAGUUGUUCUGUUUCUUUUACAUGAAGAAGGAAAUUGAGGGUGAAUAGUUAAAUAGAAAAGGAAACAGCAAUGGAAAGCCUGCAGAACAGCAGCUGGAGAAUUUCUUAGAAAACUGUAUCUCUACAGCGUAAUGCAAAACAAGCCCAACCCAUCCUGCCAACUGCUAUACACUUUGAUUAUUUGCUGUAAUUACUUGGUCAGCAAUUGCAUUUUGAGUUCCUUUAUAGGUUUUAUUACAAGAAAGCAAGUGAGUACAGAUAUAGGUAAUGGAAGGCUUGUAAGGAACAUAAUUAUAUUAUAUUAAACCAAAGGAUUUAUUUGAGAAAAAAAAAAAAUUAUAAGUUACCAUUUUUCUUUACCUGUCUUGCCUCAUUUACCUUUUCAGAAAAUUGAGGCUCAGAAACCCUACCUUUGUAGCAGGAGUGGAUUUGCAGAUAGGCUUAGGUUCUCCUCUGAGGUUUUUAAAUGAUUCUUUAAACAGCUCCUUGUUGUUGCAGACAUUUGACACUUUAAAUAGCUUUUUGGGCUUAUUGUUGUCACUUUUGUUUUUUUUUGUUGUUGUUGUUUCAACUUGUACUGGGUCUUGUUUAUUGUUUAGGAUUAAAUGAUAUAGUUUAUCACUUUUUCUUGCCUAUACUUCCAUAAAAUAAUUCCAAGAAGCAGUUAUUUACAGUGACCAAUCUGUACCUGCAUCAAUACUGGGAAAUGUCAUAAGGAUAGAAGACAUGGGACAAUCAUGGAACAUCCAUACACCCAAACUCUUUUCCCCAGUAGUAGGAGGGGGCCUCUUCCACACCGUGUAUUGGAAAUUGUCCUUGACUUGUUCACUGAGAUGGAUAACAGAUGUAUUAAACUGUUUGCUAACAAUUGAGUGAAGCCUGCGAUCUCAGUCCAGAGCUCAAGCCUUUGGCUUGUCCUGGUGUAGUCCUCCAGCCCAGACAAAGUCUGUGUCACAGUACACUAUUAUAUUUACCUUGUCUAGCAUGAUUGGGCUGUUCCAUUGUUAUUGAUUGUCUGCCCUUCAAGCUCUCUGAUUGUCUCUAGCACUUCACUCACCUCCAUUUGGUCAGAUGAUUGAUAGCACAGCACAUACAACAUACUACUCUUUUUAUCGCAGAAUGAAAUUGCUCAGCUGUUGAAAUUCUGUAUUACAACACAUACUGUUUGUCACCAUAUUUUUUUUAGCAUUAAUGUGUAAAAAGAAACAACUUGUCUUAUACAAAAUCUAUUUUCCUUUAUUGAUGUUCAGGGAGCGCCUUCCUAUCAUUAAACUUCCAUAACCAGAGUUUCAUUUUAAAACAAAUAUUGGCAUUCCCCAGUGCUUCUGCCACUUAAUCUAUUUUAUAAUUUAGGUAUCUUAAUGGAGAUAUUUGGACAUCUGAUCUGGUUGCCUGUUUUGAUGCACUCUCGUUACUUGGAGCAUUGGUUGCUUUUCUUUGUUUUGUUUUGCUUGUUUUUCAGUACCGUCUAUUUUAUUGUUUUUUUAAGUUGUCGGUUUUCUGUGAUUUCAGACCACACAGACAUAUCACUCUGAACAAUUUACUUUCCACACUUGGCAUGUUUUCCUUGGUCUUCAGUUUAAAAUUAUCUCGUAGCACUUUUAAUCUUAAAUGUCAGCUGCACCGAUUCUAUUUUGAUUAGGUACAACUCAUCUUAUAUAAACUCUAUCUACAUCAAAAAUUUACCAGAUACUAGUAAGCGUAAUCUCAUUUUUCUGUACACACUUUAAUCAAUCAUGCACUGAACCUCUGCUGUCUGACACAGCGUAUGUGACAAGGACCAUUUUGAAAAAUGCUCCUAUGUAGGACUGUGUUUUUAGUUUCUUGGUUUAAGCUUUCUUUCAGGACCAGCUGAUCCUCUGUUAUUCUUUUUCAUAUGGUUAAUUACCACUGAGUGUUCCUCUUCACUGAGUAUGAAGAUGUCUGAAUUCCUCAUGCUAUGUGCCAUGUUUUCAACUGUAUGUGUUUUUUAUAGUAAAAUGU
ensembl:lncRNA